UACAGAGGGUGCGAGCGUUAAUCGGAGUUACUGGGCGUAAAGGGCGCGUAGGCGGUUUAAUAAGAUUGAUGUGAAAGCCCUGUGCUUAACCUAGGAACUGCAUCGAUGACUGUUAAGCUAGAGUAUUGUAGAGGGUAGUGGAAUUUCCGGUGUAGCGGUGAAAUGCGUAGAGAUCGGAAGGAACACCAGUGGCGAAGGCGGCUACCUGGACAAAUACUGACGCUGAGGCGCGAGAGCGUGGGGAG
rnacentral:rRNA from 1 species